ACAUGCCUACAACAUAGCGUUAAUGUAUCGGAUAUCAUUAUAACUCUGCAGUUAAACAUGCUUAGGUUAGAGUAGUACUGGGAUGGGUGACCAAUCAGGAAGUCAUAGUGUUUUACAUGCC
rfam:Picea glauca, whole genome shotgun sequence.